CAAAGGUUUGGUCCUGGCCUUGCCAUUAAUUCUAGCCCCACUUACACAUGCAAGUAUCUGCACCCCCGUGAAAAUGCCCUCUACUACCAACAGGUAGAACAGGAGCGGAUAUCAGGCACCUGCCUUGCCAAAGACAUCUUGUUUAACCACACCCUCAAGGGAAAUCAGCAGUGAUAAACAUUGAACAAUAAGCGACACAAGCUUGAAUCAGUGAUAGCUAAGAGAGUCGGUAAAUCUCGUGCCAGCCACCGCGGUUAUACGAGAGACUCAAAUUAAUUUCAUCGGCUCAAAGGGUGGUUAAACAAGCACAUUAAAUAAGGCUAAAAACUAACUCUGCUGUCGCACGCAAAAGUUAAAAAAAAUACAACAUCGAAAGUCGCCUUACCUAAACAAACUUGAACCCACGACAGCUAGGGCACAAACUGGGAUUAGAUACCCCACUAUGCCUAGUCAUAAACUUUGAUUUCAUCCGCCAGAGUACUACGAGCAACAGCUUAAAACUCAAAGGAUUUGGCGGUGCUCUACACCCCCCUAGAGGAGCCUGUUCUAUAAUCGAUAAUCCCCGAUAAACCUCACCAUCUAUUGCCAAUACAGCCUAUAUACCACCGUCCAGCCCACCCUUUGAAGGGAAUACAGUAGGCACAACUACAUACAUAUAAACGUCAGGUCAAGGUGUAGCAAAUAAGAUGGGAAGAAAUGGGCUACAUUUUCUAACCUAGAAAAACACGAAAAAGUUUAUGAAACUAAACUAUAAAGGAGGAUUUAGCAGUAAAAAGAAAAAAGAGUGUUCUUUUUAAGCCGGCAAUGGAGCGCGCACACACCGCCCGUCACCCUCUUCAAACACCAUAAGAACAAUAAAUAAACCAAAAUAAAAAGAAGAAGAGGCAAGUCGUAACAUGGUAAGCCUACCGGAAGGUGAGCUUGGAA
rnacentral:ncRNA from 1 species